UCAUAAGACAUUUCGUGAAUGUUAAGUAUGAAGGAAUCAUGCAUAUCUUCAAACGAAUUGUUACGUGUCUAUGCGGUAAAUAUAGGACAUGAGCCUUUACCCAGUUCAAGAUACGCCCACCUUCUAUCUGGAUCGGUUGAUUAAAACUACAGUGCGAGUAUCAUCUGUUAGUCUGGUCCGAUAAAUCCAACGUACCUUGGCCAUUGAUAAUUUCAGUUGACAAGUGAAACCUUGACAUUGUGCUAAAAUAACUCAUGACAAAUCUUUAUAUCUGGAUAAAGCACUCACGUGACGUAUAGUGACGUCGUAUUAAAUAGUUCGUGAAUAUUUUCAUGUCGCCGUGUGCUGUGUUGUGUUUAUUUUAUCUUGCUUUUAAAGACAGGAGUAAAUUAUUGAACAGAUAGAAUAUCACGCAAGUGUCAACGGUAAACAUUAUUCGCUCGGCAGAAAAUAUGAAAAAAGUUCUAUGGCAGCGGUUCGCAGAGCGCAGCACAAAAAGCCGAUAAGCCCCCAAAUGUUGCCACUGAAAUCUUGGUUGCACCAGCAGCCGCCAUAGACUGCAGGGUCGCAAAUAAACUUCCGGCUGGCACUGCGCCACCAAACGCCGCCAUCCAGCUGGCCGCCCAAGAUCCGGCUGCUAUUCCGCCUGCGGUGAACCCCAGUAAUGACAAAAUGGCGCCACCGCCGAAAAAUCCGAAGACAGCGACUAUGGAAACACAGACCGUGGCUAACAUGACGCUGCGUUCACCUGAAUGCGGUCCUCGGGCAGGUCUAUUUUGAGUGCGAGCACUUCCCGUGCGUACAGGUCCGGGUAGUGCGCGUCCUUGAACGCCUUCUCCAGCUCCUCCUGCUGAAACGAAGUGAAGAUCGUCCUGAAACCGGAAAUGUGGCGUAAUUUUAAACCUAUUUAUUUUAGCUCGAUUGAACUAAGUCUCAGAGAAAGGCUCUCGAGUCCGUUUCCUGUGUGGAACCAGUUCUUGGUGUUUUUGGGUUCGAUCUAAAGAACGCCCCCAUAGUGGGACUCGAAUUCGCUAAGAGGACACCAUAUCCAUUACGCCACGGCGACCUGAUUAUGUGUUCGCCUAGCGACCAGAAGGUCACGGGUUCGAUCUCUGUGGGAGCAUUUUUUUUAUCUUUCUCAAAGACACCAAAUACUGGUUCUACCCAAGAAAAAGACUCGAAGACGUUUCAAUAAGCCUAAGGCUUUCGUGCAAUUGACACAAAUUGAAAGUUUUAAACUAAAAUUGGAUCAGUUAAGUAGUGGUCCUGACACAAUAAUGUGAAUCAGUUGAAUAGUGGUCAUGGAAGGAUCAGUCAAUGUAAAAAUGAAACGGACAAGAGGAAGAGUCUAAGACUGGUUAUGAAACGAACAUCUGAAACUGUUAAAUAUUUGUCAUUAAACGGGUAUGUGGCACUGAUAAAUAUUGGUAAUGAACGGAAAACGGAACGAUUGAAUAAUGGUCCUAAACCUUAAUUGUGGAUCAGUUGAAUAUUGGUGCUGAAAUGUAAAAGUUGAACAGUUCAGUACUGAUCAUGAAAUAAAAAAUGUGAAAGUGUAAAAUAAUUGUCCUGAAACGAAUAUGUGGAUCACUUAAAAUUUAGUCUUGAAACGGAAAUGUGAAACAGUUAAAUAUAGGUUCGGAAACGGAAAUGUGAAACAGUUAAAUAUAUGUACGGAAACAGAAAUGUGAAAAUUAGUCCGUUUUAUGGGCCUUCGUCAACUUGUCAUCAAAUAAAUAUUGAUAGUGAUGAUGUAUUUUUUAAGUACAAAAUUCAGUAGUGAGUCAAACAUAUCGUUCGAUCUAUGGAAAAACAACAACAGGACAUUGAAUUUUAUAAACGUCUCAGAACCGUUCUCUCGCGGAGGUGCGAAAAAUCUGAAUUCGUAUAUAACCAAUUACGUUCCAAAGUUCUUCCACGAGAGUACGAGUAGUCUACAUGUAAACUGGGAAACCAAUUAGCCUAACAACCGACUGGACAGUGGCUAGUUGUUCACGAGGCAAUGUUCGCGACAGAAACAAGAGCCGGCCAAUUUGCAGGCUGCGUGCCCAUGAAUACGUUUAACUAGAACAAUUAGGCACACACUUAUCGUACAGAAGGAGGUUCACAUUUAGAUAUGCGGUAAAAUUUCACCAUUAUAAUAACAUUAUCUUUUUGUGAAUCAUGUAUAUGGUCAUUAAGAUAAAAUUAUAAAUAUUAUUGGCUUAAUUCAAAUUUCCUUUUCCAUCGAACUAAAGCAUUACGAUUUACCAAUAACUAUUGUUUACCGGUAGCACAUUUGUCUACUAAUGUUGUUGUUUUUUCGUUGAUUUGACUUUAUGACACAUUUCUUUUACUCAAAAUGAUUAAAAUAAACUACCGGUAUUUAAAAAACACCCAUCAGAUUUCAGAUUAGGUCAGCGCUUUUGUCGUGGUACAUUCCGUCAUACAAACUAAGCAUCGUGAAUACGCCGUAAGUUUCCAAACAUUUUGUCCAUUUUUGUACACGCCAAGGCUGUAAAGUGCAUUAAAUACAAAUUUAACUUAAUUUAUCGCAAUAUUGUUGGUCGACAGUUU